AACGUAGGACGCAAGCGUUAUCCGGAGUUACUGGGUGUAAAGCGCGGGCAGGCGGCUCGAAACGUCUGAUGUGAAAUCUCCUCGCUCAACGGGGAGAGGCCAUUGGAAACGGUCGAGCUGGAGGGCAGUAGAGGUAGGCGGAAUUCCGGGUGGAGUGGUGAAAUGCGUAGAGAUCCGGAGGAACACCAGAGGCGAAGGCGGCCUACUGGGCUGCACCUGACGCUGAGCCGCGAAAGCCAGGGGAGCGAACGGG
rnacentral:rRNA from 1 species